rnacentral:lncRNA from 1 species
AGCUGGGAGGCGGGGACUGGAAUCCUCGCUCCACAUUGGUCAAUCAUUCGUGAUCUCGGUAGCUGGUCACCUUACUUGUAAACCGGAGUUAAUGAUACCUCCCGCGCGUACUUCUCUGGGUUGUUGUGAAAAUCAAAGUAAGUAUGUAUGAGGACGCCUUUUAAAUUGCUGUGUAGUGCGACAGAGGUGACCAUCUCUGGUCCCUUCUGAUGAACAUGACCCCAGAGGCUUUCUAUAGGUAUAAUUUGUAUGUUUUGUUAAAGUUAUUUUUUCCUUAACCUGAUGUCAUAUGUGCUUGAUCACAUAAUGUUGCAAACAAUGAUAUGCCCCUCAUCUAAUAUUAAAUACUUCCUAUGAGCCAGGCAAGUAUGAAGUAAAUUCUGGGCCUGGCCUUAAUUUAUCUAACCACUCCCUUGUACUUGAGGCAUUGGAUAGUUUAUGUGUUGUUGGUCUGAAUAAACAUUUUUAUACAAAUAGCCCUUAAAAAAAAAACAAAAAACAAAAAAAAAAACCCUCUUUGAGUUAUUGGGAUGUAGUGCCAGUAUUGGCUUUCUGCCAAUUUCAAUUCAUUGAGUUCUUUUUGAGUACUUUUGGAAUGCAAGACAUUGAUCUAAACAGAAAUUAUAAGAAUAAUAAGUAAUUAAAGAGCCAUGAGCUUUUUUUUUUCUUAUGAACUUGUCUAGGACAUAAAUACACAAGUACAUUUAAUGUAAGAAUAUGUUAUUUGCCACAAGAGACAGCCAGAUUUAAAAGUCUAGGGGAAGGUAAAAACUGGGAGAUUGUACUUUUGGGAAGAAUCAAGAAAUGUUUAAUUAAGGAGGUGGCAUAUGAAAGAGGGAAGUAUUUCUGACUGAUGGAGAUUGGGGUUGGGAUGAGAAGCACUUUCUUCCAAGACCUAACAAUAUCAAUCAAAGUAUUAAGGUGAGAAAAUGCAAGACAUGUUGAGGAAACAACUUCAGUUUGGCAGGGCCUGCAUUAUGCCUGGAGGAAUAGGUAAUUAGAACACAGACUCUUGACUUGAGCCUUGUGGAAGGCCUUUAUAAAUGUCAUGAGUGAAAACAACAGAGAUCUGCUUUGGCAAAAUAGAUAUGGCAACGGCAUUGAGAACUUACUAGCGAAGACUGCAAUAAUGCAGGCAGUAGGUUAUUACGAAGACCUAAGAAAGAAGAUGGGAGAAUGUAACACUGAGUUUAGAAAAAAUGGAUCAGAUGUAAAAGUUAUUGUAAAGAUUGAAACUACAGAACUUAACUGUGCAUUCUGGAGGAAAUAAAAGAGUUCCUAGAGCCUGGCACCCUGGUAAAUACCUGUAGUUCUAGCUAUUUAGGAGGUUGAUGCACAAGGAUUGCUUGUGUUUGGGAGUUCAACGCCAGCCUAGGCAACACAGCAAGACACUGUUCAAAACAAACAAACAAAACAAAAAACCCUAAACUUAAAAGUCAAAAACAAAGAAUGGGACCAGGGCUUUUUAAAACCAAAUUUGGAAGACAUAAUUGAAAUGAUGUGAUUUAAAAUGCUGGCAGUGUACAUAAAAUACAUUUGGAAAGGCCCUAAAGGAACCUCACAGAUACAGAAAAUUAUUUAGCAGAAAUGGAAUACAAGAUUCUGUGUGACAGCAAAUAGAAAGAAAUGUGCCAUUAAGGGAUCCUGGACAGAAACAGUUUAAAGUCACUAAGGCCAAUAGUCUAAAUUUCAGAUACUGAACUACAACCAAGCCAUUUUCCCCAUAGUAAUCAAAGUGCAUAGGAACAGGAUUUUAUUUACUUAAUGAUGAUUAAUGAUUCUCUAGGGAAAUACUGGUUUGACCAGCUAAUCACUACAAUUCAGUAUAAAAAGUGGUUCUUAGUUCCUGACAAAGCAGAAAGGUAAAUAGAUCAUUAUUAUCUCAUAAUAAAAAAAGAAGGCAGCAAUUCACCACUGGAGUGGA